rnacentral:misc_RNA from 1 species
AAACAACUUGUUGCAUGUGUACAAAGGGAUAGUAAAUGUUCUUUUUCUUCUGUUUUGAAUGCUACGUUGUUAUUAUUGACAUUUGUGAUGGGUCAUUUAUAAACGAACGUUUAAAGACUGCAAAGGGGUUUAUGAUUCUCUCCUUAUAAGAAAAUAAAUGUACUACCUCAGAUUUUAGCGAAAGGUUUCCGAACUAGUACCUUAAUUCAUUAGCCGCCUUUUAUUUCAAGUCCAAAACCUAAGCGACUAAAUUACCCCGGAGGUCAUACUUUUAUCCCAACCAUGGAUUUAACACAUUCAGCACUAAUUUUCUUGCAAAGUUCGAACGGAUCAUCCAAAGUCAGGAUAUGUGACCAACUUGGAAGGGGUACUAGACUCGAGAAGAAGAAGUAGAAUUCAAUCACUUUAAUUCGGCCUGAUCGAUUAAAUAAAAACAUCCUCCAGUGGCGAGCUAUCUUUCUACCCUGCUGUGACGUGGCAUUGUUCUUACAGACGUUCAACGAGCAAUCAGUAUCUCUUAAUCUUCAAUAAUGCACAACAAAGGUUCUGGCAACAGUCUUAGGUGGACUUUAAUUAAGACGACCCAGUGUGUGGAGAUCCGUUGUCAAGACCUGAACUAUCGCAUCAUUUCUUUUUAAGAGUUGAUAAAUCGGAUUCAGAAAACGGUUCUUGUGGAUUAUUUUUCACUUAGACAACAAAUUACGAGGACCAAUGUAGAAGUGCCUUACACGUACAUUUGAUACUGUGAGGGCCUGCACCAAGUCAUUUCCUUACAAUGAGUGAACACGGGGAGAAGGGAGAAGAGGAGGAGGAGGGGGUGAUGUCCCCCAAACCCCCGCCAUUCGCCAGAGCCCCGAGUUUUGAGGUUGUGAUUGACCCAAUGGAUGAGCCUUGGGAGUGGCCCGCGAAACAGGAGAAGAACACGGAGGACAACAGUGAUGAUAGUGACGAUGAUUUUUUCGGGAGGGGAAGUGCAGCAUCCAAUGAGGAGGUGGUUUGCCUUUGUAUUUUAAUAAGUUUUUUAGGCUACAUUUUAAAGGUGAUAUCGUUUAUUGGUGUUGCAUGAAGAUACGAUACUACUUUUUGAGAAAAAAAUAAUACUUGGUAGGACUUGGGGGUGAAAAAAUUCUGAUUUUUUUUUCGUUAAGUUUGAGGUUUUCACGCUGAUUUUUAGCAAUACAUGCCAUAAUACUAUUGAUUUGGUUAUGGUAUUUGAUAUCAAAGAGACACGUUUGUCACCUCGGCGUAAAUUGGCGGUUUACGAUGACUGGAUCUGGGGCGGUUGUUAAGUUCUGUGUUAUUUGGAAUCCUUCAAUCCGUGUUUGCUAUGAUAUAUGUGUGUUAUGUCUUAAACCCGGUAAAUACAGUUAGUGCAAUGCAUAAGAAGCUUUUAGAACGUGUUAAAGAUGUCCUGAGGAACUAAAUCGUAAUAAGCUUUAGAUUAGAGAUUAUUUCAUUAUUAUUGACCUGUAUACUCAUUAUAGAUUUUUAUGUCACUGGAAUUUUUUUUAUAGAAUACGAGUAGACUUUGAUUAAAAUCUAAAGAAAUAAGCUUCUAUAGGCACAUAUAUAGGAAAUCAUGAAUGAAUAGAAAUUUAUUUAAAAAUAACUAUAAAUGAUGAACGCCUGAUGGAGAUCGCUCAUUGCUGCAUUAUUUGCUUUAUUAAUAGAGUUUUCUUUUACAGCCCUUCAUAAAGUUUCGAAGAAUGGCACGUGCUGUGAAAAUGCUUAUAAGCGUGUGUCACGUGUGUAGGAGUUUGUUGGUAACUUCCGUUUCCAAAGAAAAUUGGUUCGCAUUGCUGGACAACCUAGUCGCCGCCACAACUCUCCAGCAAUCGCAAAAGAAAGGAAGAGCCUUUGUUGCUUUGGUAACCAAUGAGAAACAUAAAAUGGAACAGUUGACCUUUGACAUCAACGAUUAUAAACAACAACGGCUCACAAAGGAUUUGUUCACGGACGAGAUCCGAGAGAUAAUGCGACAGAGACCAGGAACACGGUCCAGUGACCAGAUUAUGGAGGUUGUGAGAGUCAUGAAGGGAAUGUCGAAGCAGUUUUGCGAGUACUCUUUAGGAAUCCAGAAAAAGAUCUGCCAGUAUUCCUUUUACGACAAGUACCGCCAUAACCGCGUGAUCAUCAAACGAGGCCUGCCCCCUGACGGAAUCUACUUCGUCAUCAGUGGAACGUUGGUUUCCAAACCAGACGACAAGAGAAACCCGGAUGAACUUCACGCCGGAGAAAAGUUCGGGGAAGAAGAUUUAGUGUGUGGAUGUGGCAGGCGAGCUACGGUGAUCACACGCCACGAGGUGGAGCUUCUAUUCCUGCACAGAUUUGACUAUAUGGAUAUAUUCGAUAUGUCCGCGGACUCUAACGAUCCCAAGAACUUAAACAUUUGUCGGAGGGACGUGGUCCUCAGACAUUUCCCGAUGGACAAACUCGAGGACAAUCCAGGAACGUGGAGUACUCUAAAAUACAGAUAUGGUCGUCUUAUUGUGAAGAACAGCAACGAAAUGGAAUGGAUAUACGUGAUUUUGUCUGGAGAAGCGCGCGUGAUAGCGCGGCUACAGCCGGAUACCAUAGACGUGAAGGCCCGGCGUCAGCAGAUACAGAGAACCAUAGAGCAGGACUCGCCAUUCUACAAGAAAAAGAAAAUCCUCAACUUUGUCUCAGACAGGGCUCACGUAAAAUCAAAGUACAGCCCUGCAACAUAUCAUCCAGGGAUACGGAGGGACCUUAUGUCGGCGCCACCUGCGCAUGGGCACAGACGUUGUCUUGACGAUAUUGCGUACAAAAAUGUACCAGACGCCCAAAACGCUGUGACGUCAAUACGAGGAUUUCUUCGCUCUAAAUCUGAAAUAUUAGAAAGCAAAUCAGAUAAACUUCCAAAAAUUGACAUUAAAGUCAGUGAUGAAAAUGGAGAUACAACUGAAAAGACAGAAAAUGACGAGAAUAUAAGACCUAUUUCAGUUACCCCCUCUGAACCUCAACAGUUAUCAUUCACCGAAAUAUCCGCAGACAAAAAGUCGUUUUAUCAAAGAACUGGACAUAAUGCAGGAAACAAGCCGAGACCAAAGUCUGAGAAUCUGCACGCGAUGAAAAAGAAACGGUUAACCCACGAACAAAUGAUGGAACGUCUGCAUAUGGCGGAACGCAGACGAUUAAAAGAGAAAUACAUGAAUGCCCCGAACAUCAAACCACAGCGAGUGGUCAUUACACACGAGAAGGAGACGGCGGAACUUCCUGCUUUUGUCCAGGUGGAAACUUUGCAUCCAGGACAGACCUUCGGUUUGCGAUCUUGCCUAGAAUCUUAUGAGCGAGGACCCUCAGUUAGCCUGAUCAGCGGUGACUGUGAAGUACUCGCCAUCAACAAAAAAUUCUUCCUACGCCAUUGCGAUGACGCUAUGUUCAGUCUCAUCAGACUCAAGGCGAAGCCUUUUCCUCAGCAGAGUGAGUUGGUAGACCGAUUAGAUAUCACUCUACAAUGGGACGAAUUUAAACAAGAGACAUUGAAAGACUACCUCAGGAGACGAAUCAGAAAACAUUGACCAUACCAUAUUUUAUCUGAAUAAUGAUUAUGAUGACGCAAUAUUUCCCCCUAAUACGGCAAAUUUCGCUGGGUUUAGUGCUGUGAAAAUUGUGUACUUUUGUUCUCUCUUACCAGUAUUAUUAUUUAUGAAUUAUGAUUAAUAAACAAAUAUUUAUU